rnacentral:rRNA from 1 species
UACGUAGGGGGCAAGCGUUGUCCGGAAUCAUUGGGCGUAAAGCGCGUGUAGGCGGCCAGGUAAGUCCGUUCUGAAAGCCCGGGGCUCAACCCCGGGAGGCGGAUGGAUACUGUUUGGCUCGAGUCCGGAAGAGGCGAGUGGAAUUCCCGGUGUAGCGGUGAAAUGCGCAGAUAUCGGGAGGAACACCAAUGGCGAAGGCAGCUCGCUGGGACGGUACUGACGCUGAGACGCGAAAGCGUGGGGAGCAAACAGG